GACGAACGCUGGCGGCGUGCUUAACACAUGCAAGUCGAACGGAAAGGCCCUGCUUUUGUGGGGUGCUCGAGUGGCGAACGGGUGAGUAACACGUGAGUAACCUGCCCUUGACUUUGGGAUAACUUCAGGAAACUGGGGCUAAUACCGGAUAGGAUCUCCUGCUGCCUUGUGGGGGUUGGUAAGUUUCGGCGGUUGGGGAUGGACUCGCGGCUUAUCAGCUUGUUGGUGGGGUAGUGGCUUACCACGGCUUUGACGGGUAGCAGGCCUGAGAGGGUGACCGGCCACAUUGGGACUGAGAUACGGCCGGGACUCGUACGGGAGGCAGCAGUAGGGAAUAUUGCACGAUGGGCGGAAGCCUGAUGCAGGAACGCCGCGUGCGGGAUGACGGCCUUCGGGUUGUAGACCGCUUUCGCCUGUGACGAAGCGUGAGUGACGGUAAUGGGUAAAGAAGCACCGGCUAACUACGUG
rnacentral:rRNA from 1 species